rnacentral:tRNA from 1 species
GGUGGCUCAGUGGUAGAGCACUUGCCUUGCAUGCAUGAGACCCUGGGUUCGAUUCCUCAGUACCA